rnacentral:lncRNA from 1 species
AUCAGCCCCGGCGCUCUCUCAUCCCUUCUCUCUUCCUUGGUGCUUCUUUUUCCUGCUCGGUGAGUUUGUUUGUUUGUUUGUUUUUGAGACAGAGUCUCACUUUGCUUCCCAGGCUGGAGUGCAGUGGUGCGAUCUCAGCUUACUGCAGCCUCCGCUUCCGGGGUUCAAGCGAUUCUCCUGCCUCAGCCUGCCAAGUAGCUGGGACUACCGGCGCCCACCACCACGCCUGGCUAAUUUUUGAAUUUUUAGUAGAGAGUGGGUUUCACUAUGUUGGCCAGGCUGGUCUGGAACGCCUGACCUCAAGUGAUCCGUCCGCCUCGGCCUUCCAAAGUUCUGGGAUUACAGGCGUGAGCCACCGCGCCCGGCCUGAGUGAGUCUUAAUCCGUGGCCAUCUGCGUUCCUGCAGGCUUCAUCUGGCCCUAUGGUCCCCUGGCAUCAUGGCUGCCCUCAGAUCCCUUGUGAAGCCCAAGAUCGUCAAAAAGAGAACCAAGAAAUUCAUCCGGCACCAGUCAGACCGAUAUGUCAAAAUCAAGCGUAACUGGUGGAAACCCAGAGGCAUUGACAACAGGGUUCAUAGAAGGUUCAAGGGCCAGGUCUUGAUAUGAUGCCCAGCAUUGGUUAUAGGAGCAAAAAAAAAAAAAAAAAAAAAAAACCAGAAAGCACGUGCUGCCCAGUGGCUUCCGGAAGUUCCUGGUCCACAAUGUCAAGGAGCUGAGAGUGCUGCUGAUAUGCAACAAAUGAGAAGAAUAAUGUCUGGGGUGAAGGUGAAGCACCCAGCCCAAGACUCAGCAGCCAGGAAGUGGCCCAGCGCUCUUUAUACCACGGGUGCAGGAAUUCACACAGAAAAGUGGAGGCCAAGGCGUGAGAAUUCCUCAAUGACUGCCCUCUAAAGGAAGAGGACCAGGCUUCCUGUCAGAGACUGAGGACCCAGGAAGAAACAUGUCUCGGCCCCUGUCCCCCUCCACAAUUCAGAGGCCACAUUCUAACAGGGGAGGCUGACCAAUUAAACAGAUAAUGACACCUCCUAGAGCUAAGAGCUCUCCGACUAUGAACCAGAUGCCUGGAGAACACGGAUGAAUGGUCUGAGCAUGAGCAGGGGUGGGAGGCAGCGUUAAGGGAGGCAUCAGAGUCAGAACCUAGCAAACAAGUGUUUGUGAAGAAGAAUUCAUAGAAAAGGGCAAUGCGGGCAUCACAUGGGCUAAGGAACAGAGGGGUAGCAGUAGCUGUUGUGCCAAGCUGCAGGUGUUAUACACUACCCUCUAGAUCUGGGUUUCCUUAAAACACCUUGAGAGGACAACCCUGCAAAGCACGGCACAGUGGCCGAGAGGGAAAGGAGCAUUCGAGGUCUCAGUCCUCGCUCUGAGCCUACUUCUCUGCUUCUGGGCUCCAGCCAUCUUUGUGGAAAGGGGGCUGCUAGUGACACCCUCUCAAGGGUCUUUCCAGCUCUAGGUCGGCUGUGCUGGAGUCUAGGAUUUGCCCACUGAGAAAUCUGUUUCCAAGUUCCUUCAACCUGAUGCAUCCUGCAGCAUCACGGCAGCUGUUCAGAGUGGUCAGAAGGCCCCUGAAUGAGCUCAGUAGAGGGAAGCCUGGGAACAGGGAGGCACCUGCAGCUCUACUCAUGGCCUGGCCAGAGCUCAGCAGCUCUUCUCUGCCAUCUAGUGGGGAUGGCAUACCAUCACUGGGGACCACCCUGUGCAAACUGGUGAGCCUGAGUGCCUGUCACAGAGGGAAAGAAAGGGGGGGGAUACAGGAUUUAGAUGAAAUAGCAACUCCUACCCUAUUGUCAAAAUCAUCCAGCUUUUUCAAAACAUCAUAUUGUACUGAUUUUUUUGUGUUUUUGACAGAGUCUUGCUGUGUCACCAAGGCUGGAAUGCAGUGGCAUGAUCUCGGCUCACUGUAGCCUCUGUCUCCCUGGUUCAAGCAAUUCUGCCCCAGCCUCCCAAGUAGCUGGGACUACAGGCAUGCGCCACCACACCCAGCUAAGUUUUGUAUUUUUUUAGUAGAGUCAGGGUUUUACUUUGGCCAGGCUGGUCUUAAACUCCUGGCCUCAACUGAUCUGCCUGUCUCGGCCUCCCAAAGAACUGGGAUUACAGGCAUGAGGCACCGUGCCUGUCCCAUGUUGUACUUAAUAGAUAUUUACCAUAUACAAUUAUUUUUUAAUUUAAAUAAAUCAAUGAACAGUGUUAUUUUUUAAAUCUUGUGGCUUUAAUACACCCUUUCAAUUCUCAGGGAGUGUUUUGGUGAUACAGGCUGGGGAGUUAAAUAAAUGAACGAAUAAACUU